rnacentral:tRNA from 1 species
GGCUCCUUGGUCAAGCGGUUAAGACACCACCCUCUCACGGUGGGAUCAGGGGUUCGAGUCCCCUAGGAGUCA